rnacentral:rRNA from 1 species
AUUGAACGCUGGCGGCAUGCCUUACACAUGCAAGUCGAACGGCAGCGGGCCUUCGGGUGCCGGCGAGUGGCGAACGGGUGAGUAAUGCAUCGGAACGUGCCAUUGAGUGGGGGAUAACGUAGCGAAAGUUGCGCUAAUACCGCAUAUUCUGUGAGCAGGAAAGCAGGGGACCGCAAGGCCUUGCGCUCUUUGAGCGGCCGAUGUCAGAUUAGCUAGUUGGUGAGGUAAAGGCUUACCAAGGCGACGAUCUGUAGCGGGUCUGAGAGGAUGAUCCGCCACACUGGAACUGAGACACGGUCCAGACUCCUACGGGAGGCAGCAGUAGGGAAUUUUGGACAAUGGGGGCAACCCUGAUCCAGCCAUGCCGCGUGAGUGAAGAAGGCC